AUGUCUUGUUUUUCAGGUAAGGGACAGAGGCUUACGUUGAGAAAGGGUUGCCCAUCACUUAAAAUGGGCUCCUGGUCCCUUGGGCAUUGGCCAGGGACCUGCGUAAGAAGCAGAGGAACCAAGUCUUCCAUCUCUACACCACUGCAGUCCACACUGCAGUCUGACUCCUUCUCUAGACAUAGCAGAGCUCUGGGUAAACCAGGCCCAACCUAG
rnacentral:lncRNA from 1 species